rnacentral:snRNA from 1 species
GAUCGAUCAUGCACUAAAGUUGGAACGAUGCAGAGAUUAGCGCAGCCCCCGAACAAGGAUGAUAUGCAAAUUUAUAAAGCAUUCCAUAUUAAA